rnacentral:sRNA from 1 species
UUUCCCGUCCUUGCGUAUCUUCGGUCGGACGGUGAUUCUCACUCUUCCUAUUGACUUCUACUUUGUGUCAGCAAGUUCAGCGUGGGCCCCGUAUGAUGCUGUGGAUCUGAUCAGCUGAGGCCUGGGACACAGGACCAGGACUGUUUUGUCUUGGCACCAGGUCCACAGGAAAGCCUUCAUUCAUCCCCUCCCUGUCUGUGAUCUCAUCAGCCAGAGCACAGCUUCAGCCAGGGAAGCAGGGCCCCAGAGCCUGAACCAGCUGUACCAGUUCAUUGUCCCAGGCCACUGGCCUUGAAGCUUGCUCUGUCACCCAGUGGCAUGAUCUUGGCUCACUGCAACUUCCACCUCCCAGGUUCAAGCGGUUCUCAAGCUUCAGCCACCUGAGUAGCUGGGAUUACAGGCACAUGCCAUCACAUUCAGCUAAUUUUUCUAUAUUUUUAGUAGAGACGGGGUUUCACCAUGUUGGCCAGGCUAGUCUUGAAUUCCUGGCCUCAAGUGAUCUGCCUGCCCCGGGUCUCCCAAAGUGCUGAGAUUACAGGUGUGAGCCACUGUGCUCAGCCAAGGC